AACGCAACUUGCGCUCUUGGGUAUCCCUGAGAGCAUGCCUCUUUGAGUAUCGUUUCAACCCAAUCUCAGCUUCGUGCUGGGGAAAAUGAGUGUUCUUUUUUCGAUACAUUCCGUAUCGGAGAAUCACUUGAAAUUUCUAGCUGACACUAUUUCCAGCUUAUACCAAAACGCUUCUUGAUUUCAGUCCUGGGUUCCGCUAAAAGCUGCGCUUUUAGCCGGGUCAUGUUAGGAUCAAAUCAUCUAGCUUUGAUGUUGAUACUUGACUUUUUGUCAUACAAUUCUACAUCGAACUUGGAUUGAUCCGCUCUCUUAUAUGACUGCUAAGCCGGUAGGAACACCGUUGGAUGCUUGAAGUGUGAGUUGGACUUUCUUAUGUGUCGAUUCUUUAAACCCAAGACCUCGUGUCUUGAAAAUUUGAUCUCAAAUGAAGCAAGAGAACCCGCCGAAUUUAA
rnacentral:misc_RNA from 1 species